rnacentral:misc_RNA from 1 species
CAAAUAAAGAUAAGGGCAAGGGAAGUCACCAUUUCCCUUGCGGAAGGAAAUUAAACUUUGUUUCAUUUCUUUUCACUUCUCAAUUCCAUCAAAACAAACAGACUUCUGGUAUGCGUAGAUAAAUUUUUGGAGUGAAUGAGAAAUUCUGCCAUAGUACUAUUUGUUCUAUGAUAAAUUUAAUAAUAAUUUAUAUAAAUAAAACUCCCUUAAACCAUGAUUGGGUAUAGUCUCAGCCAGAGAUCCAUAAAUAGGAUAAGGAGAUAAGCCUAUACGUGGCACAAGCCCACCUCCCCACUCCAGAGCUCCUCUGUCGAAGCUAUUCUCCCCUUCCCUCUGCCAACAAAGUCCAUGGCGUCACCGACACUCCUAAUCCCAACCUCCAAACCUACACCCCUCUCCACCACCAGAUCCAAAGCCGUCGUUGUCGCUACCAUCAGCCCUCCACGGCCAUCACAACAGCAGCACCAGAAACAACCUCUUCGCCGCCACUUCUUGGCCUUAGCCACUACUAUUCUCACUCCAGCAAUGUUAUCCCCAGUGGCUCCAGCUCAUGCUGCAUCUGAUGAAGAGUACGUGAAGGAGACCGAAGUAGUUAUCAACAAGGUCAGAACCGCCAUCAAGAUGGACAAAAACGAUCCUAACGUAGCUGAGGUAGCCGCUGACCUAAGAGAGACAUCCAAUUCUUGGGUGGCAAAGUAUAGAAGAGAGAAGGCUUUACUUGGCCGUGCUUCUUUUCGUGAUAUAUAUUCGGCACUGAAUGCUGUGUCUGGGCAUUAUAUUAGCUUUGGACCUACAGCUCCCAUUCCAGCAAAGCGGAAGGCGAGGAUUCUUGAAGAGAUGGACACAGCUGAGAAAGCUUUGUCGAGAGGCAGAUGAUUUUUCUUUGCAUAUUGUUAAUUUUAUCCAUUCGAAUUUUGCUUUGUUUUGAGUCUGAGUUUACAUAAUUAGGUUCAUUUUGAAUCAAAUUAACCGCAUGUGUAAAUUAUCACUCUUUCUGUUUCAGUAAUAAUUAAUUCCCUG